rnacentral:rRNA from 2 species
AUGGUUAAGUUAGAAAGGGCGCACGGUGAAUGCCUUGGCACUAGGAGCCGAUGAAGGACGGGACUAACACCGAUAUGCUUCGGGGAGCUGUAAGUGAGCUUUGAUCCGGAGAUUUCCGAAUGGGGAAACCCACUGUUCGUAAUGGAACAGUAUCUUUAUCUGAAUACAUAGGAUAUUGAAGGCAGACCCGGGGAACUGAAACAUCUAAGUACCCGGAGGAAGAGAAAGCAAAUGCGAUUUCCUGAGUAGCGGCGAGCGAAACGGAAUUAGCCCAAACCAAGAGGCUUGCCUCUUGGGGUUGUAGGACACUCUAUACGGAGUUACAAAGGAACGAAGUAAAUGAAGCGACCUGGAAAGGUCCGUCGAAGAAGGUAACAACCCUGUAGUUGAAACUUCGUUCCCUCUUGAGUGGAUCCUGAGUACGGCGGAACACGUGAAAUUCCGUCGGAAGCUGGGAGGACCAUCUCCCAAGGCUAAAUACUACCUAGUGACCGAUAGUGAACCAGUACCGUGAGGGAAAGGUGAAAAGCACCCCGGAAGGGGAGUGAAAGAGAUCCUGAAACCGUGUGCCUACAAGUAGUCAGAGCCCGUUAACGGGUGAUGGCGUGCCUUUUGUAGAAUGAACCGGCGAGUUACGAUCCCAUGCAAGGUUAAGCUGAUAAGGCGGAGCCGUAGCGAAAGCGAGUCUGAAUAGGGCGUUUAGUAUGUGGUUGUAGACCCGAAACCAGGUGAUCUACCCAUGUCCAGGGUGAAGUUCAGGUAACACUGAAUGGAGGCCCGAACCCACGCACGUUGAAAAGUGCGGGGAUGAGGUGUGGGUAGCGGAGAAAUUCCAAUCGAACCUGGAGAUAGCUGGUUCUCUCCGAAAUAGCUUUAGGGCUAGCCUCAUGUUGUGAGAGUCUUGGAGGUAGAGCACUGAUUGGACUAGGGGCCCCCAACGGGUUACCGAAUUCAGUCAAACUCCGAAUGCCAAAGACUUAUCCAUGGGAGUCAGACUGCGAGUGAUAAGAUCCGUAGUCAAAAGGGAAACAGCCCAGACCACCAGCUAAGGUCCCCAAGUAUACGUUAAGUGGAAAAGGAUGUGGAGUUGCUUAGACAACCAGGAUGUUGGCUUAGAAGCAGCCACCAUUUAAAGAGUGCGUAAUAGCUCACUGGUCGAGUGACUCUGCGCCGAAAAUGUACCGGGGCUAAACGUAUCACCGAAGCUGUGGAUUGACAUCUUUGAUGUCAGUGGUAGGAGAGCGUUCUAAGUGCAGCGAAGUCAGACCGUAAGGACUGGUGGAGCGCUUAGAAGUGAGAAUGCCGGUAUGAGUAGCGAAAGACAAGUGAGAAUCUUGUCCACCGAAUGCCUAAGGUUUCCUGAGGAAGGCUCGUCCGCUCAGGGUUAGUCGGGACCUAAGCCGAGGCUGAAAAGCGUAGGCGAUGGCCAACAGGUUGAUAUUCCUGUACCACCUCCCCGCCGUUUGAGUAAUGGGGGGACGCAGUAGGAUAGGGUAAGCGCGCUGCUGGAUAUGCGCGUUCAAGCAGUUAGGCUGAUGAGUAGGCAAAUCCGCUCAUCAUGAAGGCUGAGCUGUGAUGACGAGGGAAUUAUAGUACCGAAGUUCCUGAUUCCACACUGCCAAGAAAAGCCUCUAGCGAGGCGGGAGGUGCCCGUACCGCAAACCGACACAGGUAGGCGAGGAGAGAAUCCUAAGGUGAUCGAGAGAACUCUCGUUAAGGAACUCGGCAAAAUGACCCCGUAACUUCGGGAGAAGGGGUGCUCUGGUAGGGUGUAUAGCCCGAGAGAGCCGCAGUGAAUAGGCCCAGGCGACUGUUUAGCAAAAACACAGGUCUCUGCGAAGCCGCAAGGCGAAGUAUAGGGGCUGACGCCUGCCCGGUGCUGGAAGGUUAAGAGGAGGGGUUAUCCUUUGGGAGAAGCUCUGAAUCGAAGCCCCAGUAAACGGCGGCCGUAACUAUAACGGUCCUAAGGUAGCGAAAUUCCUUGUCGGGUAAGUUCCGACCCGCACGAAAGGCGUAACGAUCUGGGCACUGUCUCAACGAGAGACUCGGUGAAAUUAUAGUACCUGUGAAGAUGCAGGUUACCCGCGACAGGACGGAAAGACCCCGUGGAGCUUUACUGUAGCCUGAUAUUGAAUUUUGGUACAGCUUGUACAGGAUAGGUAGGAGCCUGAGAAGCCGGAGCGCUAGCUUCGGUGGAGGCGUCGGUGGGAUACUACCCUGGCUGUAUUGAAAUUCUAACCCGCGGCCCUGAUCGGGCCGGGAGACAGUGUCAGGUGGGCAGUUUGACUGGGGCGGUCGCCUCCUAAAAUGUAACGGAGGCGCCCAAAGGUUCCCUCAGAAUGGUUGGAAAUCAUUCGUAGAGUGUAAAGGCACAAGGGAGCUUGACUGCGAGACCUACAAGUCGAGCAGGGACGAAAGUCGGGCUUAGUGAUCCGGUGGUUCCGCAUGGAAGGGCCAUCGCUCAACGGAUAAAAGCUACCCCGGGGAUAACAGGCUUAUCUCCCCCAAGAGUCCACAUCGACGGGGAGGUUUGGCACCUCGAUGUCGGCUCAUCGCAUCCUGGGGCUGUAGUCGGUCCCAAGGGUUGGGCUGUUCGCCCAUUAAAGCGGUACGCGAGCUGGGUUCAGAACGUCGUGAGACAGUUCGGUCCCUAUCCGUCGUGGGCGUAGGAAAUUUGAGAGGAGCUGUCCUUAGUACGAGAGGACCGGGAUGGACACACCGCUGGUGUACCAGUUGUCUUGCCAAAGGCAUCGCUGGGUAGCUAUGUGUGGACGGGAUAAGUGCUGAAAGCAUCUAAGCAUGAAGCCCCCCUCAAGAUGAGAUUUCCCAUAGCGCAAGCUAGUAAGAUCCCUGAAAGAUGAUCAGGUUGAUAGGUCAGAGGUGGAAGCGUGGCGACAUGUGUAGCUGACUGAUACUAAUCGAUCGAGGACUUAACCAAAC